GGGUUGUGAGGUUAAGCGACUAAGCGUACACGGUGGAUGCCCUGGCAGUCAGAGGCGAUGAAGGACGUGCUAAUCUGCGAUAAGCGUCGGUAAGGUGAUAUGAACCGUUAUAACCGGCGAUUUCCGAAUGGGGAAACCCAGUGUGUUUCGACACACUAUCAUUAACUGAAUCCAUAGGUUAAUGAGGCGAACCGGGGGAACUGAAACAUCUAAGUACCCCGAGGAAAAGAAAUCAACCGAGAUUCCCCCAGUAGCGGCGAGCGAACGGGGAGCAGCCCAGAGCCUGAAUCAGUGUGUGUGUUAGUGGAAGCGUCUGGAAAGGCGUGCGAUACAGGGUGACAGCCCCGUACACAAAAAUGCACAUGCUGUGAGCUCGAUGAGUAGGGCGGGACACGUGGUAUCCUGUCUGAAUAUGGGGGGACCAUCCUCCAAGGCUAAAUACUCCUGACUGACCGAUAGUGAACCAGUACCGUGAGGGAAAGGCGAAAAGAACCCCGGCGAGGGGAGUGAAAAAGAACCUGAAACCGUGUACGUACAAGCAGUGGGAGCACGCUUAGGCGUGUGACUGCGUACCUUUUGUAUAAUGGGUCAGCGACUUAUAUUCUGUAGCAAGGUUAACCGAAUAGGGGAGCCGAAGGGAAACCGAGUCUUAACUGGGCGUUAAGUUGCAGGGUAUAGACCCGAAACCCGGUGAUCUAGCCAUGGGCAGGUUGAAGGUUGGGUAACACUAACUGGAGGACCGAACCGACUAAUGUUGAAAAAUUAGCGGAUGACUUGUGGCUGGGGGUGAAAGGCCAAUCAAACCGGGAGAUAGCUGGUUCUCCCCGAAAGCUAUUUAGGUAGCGCCUCGUGAAUUCAUCUCCGGGGGUAGAGCACUGUUUCGGCAAGGGGGUCAUCCCGACUUACCAACCCGAUGCAAACUGCGAAUACCGGAGAAUGUUAUCACGGGAGACACACGGCGGGUGCUAACGUCCGUCGUGAAGAGGGAAACAACCCAGACCGCCAGCUAAGGUCCCAAAGUCAUGGUUAAGUGGGAAACGAUGUGGGAAGGCCCAGACAGCCAGGAUGUUGGCUUAGAAGCAGCCAUCAUUUAAAGAAAGCGUAAUAGCUCACUGGUCGAGUCGGCCUGCGCGGAAGAUGUAACGGGGCUAAACCAUGCACCGAAGCUGCGGCAGCGACGCUUAUGCGUUGUUGGGUAGGGGAGCGUUCUGUAAGCCUGCGAAGGUGUGCUGUGAGGCAUGCUGGAGGUAUCAGAAGUGCGAAUGCUGACAUAAGUAACGAUAAAGCGGGUGAAAAGCCCGCUCGCCGGAAGACCAAGGGUUCCUGUCCAACGUUAAUCGGGGCAGGGUGAGUCGACCCCUAAGGCGAGGCCGAAAGGCGUAGUCGAUGGGAAACAGGUUAAUAUUCCUGUACUUGGUGUUACUGCGAAGGGGGGACGGAGAAGGCUAUGUUGGCCGGGCGACGGUUGUCCCGGUUUAAGCGUGUAGGCUGGUUUUCCAGGCAAAUCCGGAAAAUCAAGGCUGAGGCGUGAUGACGAGGCACUACGGUGCUGAAGCAACAAAUGCCCUGCUUCCAGGAAAAGCCUCUAAGCAUCAGGUAACAUCAAAUCGUACCCCAAACCGACACAGGUGGUCAGGUAGAGAAUACCAAGGCGCUUGAGAGAACUCGGGUGAAGGAACUAGGCAAAAUGGUGCCGUAACUUCGGGAGAAGGCACGCUGAUAUGUAGGUGAAGUCCCUCGCGGAUGGAGCUGAAAUCAGUCGAAGAUACCAGCUGGCUGCAACUGUUUAUUAAAAACACAGCACUGUGCAAACACGAAAGUGGACGUAUACGGUGUGACGCCUGCCCGGUGCCGGAAGGUUAAUUGAUGGGGUCAGCGCAAGCGAAGCUCUUGAUCGAAGCCCCGGUAAACGGCGGCCGUAACUAUAACGGUCCUAAGGUAGCGAAAUUCCUUGUCGGGUAAGUUCCGACCUGCACGAAUGGCGUAAUGAUGGCCAGGCUGUCUCCACCCGAGACUCAGUGAAAUUGAACUCGCUGUGAAGAUGCAGUGUACCCGCGGCAAGACGGAAAGACCCCGUGAACCUUUACUAUAGCUUGACACUGAACAUUGAGCCUUGAUGUGUAGGAUAGGUGGGAGGCUUGGAAGUGUGGACGCCAGUCUGCAUGGAGCCGACCUUGAAAUACCACCCUUUAAUGUUUGAUGUUCUAACGUGGACCCGUGAUCCGGGUUGCGGACAGUGUCUGGUGGGUAGUUUGACUGGGGCGGUCUCCUCCUAAAGAGUAACGGAGGAGCACGAAGGUUGGCUAAUCCUGGUCGGACAUCAGGAGGUUAGUGCAAUGGCAUAAGCCAGCUUGACUGCGAGCGUGACGGCGCGAGCAGGUGCGAAAGCAGGUCAUAGUGAUCCGGUGGUUCUGAAUGGAAGGGCCAUCGCUCAACGGAUAAAAGGUACUCCGGGGAUAACAGGCUGAUACCGCCCAAGAGUUCAUAUCGACGGCGGUGUUUGGCACCUCGAUGUCGGCUCAUCACAUCCUGGGGCUGAAGUAGGUCCCAAGGGUAUGGCUGUUCGCCAUUUAAAGUGGUACGCGAGCUGGGUUUAGAACGUCGUGAGACAGUUCGGUCCCUAUCUGCCGUGGGCGCUGGAGAACUGAGGGGGGCUGCUCCUAGUACGAGAGGACCGGAGUGGACGCAUCACUGGUGUUCGGGUUGUCAUGCCAAUGGCACUGCCCGGUAGCUAAAUGCGGAAGAGAUAAGUGCUGAAAGCAUCUAAGCACGAAACUUGCCCCGAGAUGAGUUCUCCCUGACUCCUUGAGAGUCCUGAAGGAACGUUGAAGACGACGACGUUGAUAGGCCGGGUGUGUAAGCGCAGCGAUGCGUUGAGCUAACCGGUACUAAUGAACCGUGAGGCUUAACCUUACAACGCCGAAGCUGUU
rnacentral:rRNA from 1 species